CUAAACUGCAGUGUAAGUCACUUGAGGCUUGAGGGUUUUUUUUUUUUCCCCUCAGUAUGCAAAUUGGGGAGGGCAGUCGGUAAAUCCUUCCCUUUCAUCAGCCUCUAACCCUGCAGGGCUUGGAAUGCCUUUCUCUCAAGUCCUCAGCUACCCGACCAAUUCAGCACCCCUUCUCUGUAAGGGGUCCUCAGAGGCAUUCACUACUUCCUGAAGAGCAGGAACCACCGGCUUGUUCUUCAAUGAACUGUCUUCCUGGUCCCUGACCGCCUCCCUCCUUCUGCACUCCUUUCCUCAUGGGAGGUUCUUUUUUGAUGUGUCAAGUCAAGAAUCUUGGCAAGUAGGCCACUACUCAGAGGGAUACCAUCUUCAUCGGUGGCAUUGUUGUCCCUGAGGUUCUGCUAUCAAGUUUUAACCUGUUGCUCUGUCACCUGCACUCAGCUAUCACAGACCGCCACGGAAGAAACCGGCCCAGCAGGAGCUCUAGCGGGCUAGUGUCCUGGAUACAUCAGAGGCUUCUCGGAGAUGCUGUGAGCCCCAGAACCGGCCCAUGUCCGUAUCCUCAUUGACACUGUGUUCAGCCCUUGUCACGUGUUUGUAAGCCAUGGUUCAUUUGAAGAGGCAGAGCCAUUCUGCCUAUAAAGAAUGAGAUGGAUUAUAACAAGCCGACUUUAUGUGGGGUAGGAGCUUGACCUUGAUCCUCUGCAGGAUCUUGUUCCAUGGCCAGCAGGACAGAAAGCUGGGAAGGAAAUUCACACUGUUGGGGACCAAGGGCAAGCUGGAGCCCACACUGUAUCCAGUGUCUUCCAUUAUGUCCCAGGAGGUGAAGAACCAACAGAGGACCAAGUGUGGGAGCCCACACUGUAUCCAGUGUCUUCCAUUAUGUCCCAGGAGGUGAAGAACCAACAGAGGACCAAGUGUGGGAGCCUACACUGUAUCCAGUGUCUUCCAUUAUGUCCCAGGAGGUGCAGAACCAACAGAGGACCAAGUGUGGGAGCCCACACUGUAUCCAGUGUCUUCCAUUAUGUCCCAGGAGGUGAAGAACCAACAGAGGACCAAGCGUGGCAAGAAUGAACGCAGUGGCUGUGUCAUCCCAGGACAUGGCCAGGUGGACCCAUGUCCGUUGCUUCAGUGUCUCUCUGUCCUGGCUUUCUGAUAUAAAUAGGGCCGUCUCAUUCUA